GGGUAGUUUGACUGGGGCGGUCUCCUCCUAAAGAGUAACGGAGGAGCACGAAGGUUGGCUAAUCCUGGUCGGACAUCAGGAGGUUAGUGCAAUGGCAUAAGCCAGCUUGACUGCGAGCGUGACGGCGCGAGCAGGUGCGAAAGCAGGUCAUAGUGAUCCGGUGGUUCUGAAUGGAAGGGCCAUCGCUCAACGGAUAAAAGGUACUCCGGGGAUAACAGGCUGAUACCGCCCAAGAGUUCAUAUCGACGGCGGUGUUUGGCACCUCGAUGUCGGCUCAUCACAUCCUGGGGCUGAAGUAGGUCCCAAGGGUAUGGCUGUUCGCCAUUUAAAGUGGUACGCGAGCUGGGUUUAGAACGUCGUGAGACAGUUCGGUCCCUAUCUGCCGUGGGCGCUGGAGAACUGAGGGGGGCUGCUCCUAGUACGAGAGGACCGGAGUGGACGCAUCACUGGUGUUCGGGUUGUCAUGCCAAUGGCACUGCCCGGUAGCUAAAUGCGGAAGAGAUAAGUGCUGAAAGCAUCUAAGCACGAAACUUGCCCCGAGAUGAGUUCUCCCUGACUCCUUGAGAGUCCUGAAGGAACGUUGAAGACGACGACGUUGAUAGGCCGGGUGUGUAAGCGCAGCGAUGCGUUGAGCUAACCGGUACUAAUGAACCGUGAGGCUUAACCUUACAACGCCGAAGGUGUUU
rnacentral:rRNA from 1 species